rnacentral:rRNA from 1 species
UGGGGAAUUUUGUACAAUGGGGGAAACCCUGAUCCAGCCAUCCCGCGUGUGCGAUGAAGGCCUUCGGGUUGUAAAGCACUUUUGGCAGGAAAGAAACGUCAUGGGUUAAUACCCCGUGAAACUGACGGUACCUGCAGAAUAAGCACCGGCUAACUACGUGCCAGCAGCCGCGGUAAUACGUAGGGUGCAAGCGUUAAUCGGAAUUACUGGGCGUAAAGCGUGCGCAGGCGGUUCGGAAAGAAAGAUGUGAAAUCCCAGAGCUCAACUUUGGAACUGCAUUUUUAACUACCGGGCUAGAGUGUGUCAGAGGGAGGUGGAAUUCCGCGUGUAGCAGUGAAAUGCGUAGAUAUGCGGAGGAACACCGAUGGCGAAGGCAGCCUCCUGGGAUAACCCUGACGCUCAUGCACGAAAGCGUGGGGAGCAAACAGG